UAUAAAUUGAGGUGCCCAGGGGAGAAGCUGUGUACAAGGAAGUCUUUCUAUAAUUCUACCCUCGGUGCCUUGCGCCUCCUACAGCCCCACCGUGGGACUUCCACAAUAGACAGAAACAUAUCCCCCCAUCACCGCGCCGCCGCCGUCGACGGCGGUGCCACGCUGCUGCCUCCUGCCAUAUUACCCAAAGGCGCGUCAGAUAAGUAA
rnacentral:lncRNA from 2 species